CUAUUUUGUCAGAUUUAAUGUGUUAGAUUUAGGAUUUAAUUAUGUAUUCAAUACAAAUAGG
rnacentral:tRNA from 1 species